rnacentral:rRNA from 1 species
CUCGUAGGCGGCCAACUAAGUCAUACGUGAAAUCCCUCAGCUUAACUGGGGAACUGCGUGUGAUACUGGAUGGCUUGGAUUUGGGAGAGGGAUGCGGAAUUCCAGGUGUAGCGGUGAAAUGCGUAGAUAUCUGGAGGAACACCGGUGGCGGAGGCGGCAUCCUGGACCAAUAUUGACGCUGAGGAGCGAAAGCUAGGGGAAGACGAACG